rnacentral:lncRNA from 1 species
AAUUCAAAUAUCAUCCAUUGUAAUUUCAAUUAAUUAUUUUCCAAGUCUAACAUAAAGUUCAACAUGAAUAUCCAAGUUUUUGUAGUGUCCACAAGAAAAAUUAAACAGUUUGAAUGUCCAUAUAUAAUGAUCAAGAGUUGUUUUCAGCUCUUUCUGUCCCUAAGCUAGUGUUGCCUUGAAUCAAUCAAAAAAAAUCUUGAUUGUUGACCAACUUGUUCAUUAUAUUCUCAAGAUUGUCAAUCUGUUUGUCUUGUGCCGGAAUGGUUGAUUAAAACUCUUCAUUCUUAGAGCGAGACGCUUCUAACUAUGUUUUGCCAAUGAAAUUUUUUCUUUCUCGCUGGAUGAAGACUUCUCUGCUCGAUGAACAAAUCCAAAACCAAGUAAUCUCCCUACCUUCUUGCCCAACACUAGAGUUAUAAUCUCCCUUUUAUCAGUACAACAUUUCCAUAUUCUACUUCCAUCUCAUAGAUGCAUUCAAUCUCAAGUGAUUUCAUUUCAUUGUGUGAAAUUAACAACAAAUGUAAAUAAUUCAAAGGUAAUCCCAAAUUUAAAAACAAAUUAAGGUUUGUAUAACUUACGUAUGUAGAUUCAUUUUCAGGUUGUACCUACUCGUUUGUUCGCCUUUUCUGAUGUGUGAUUUUCUAACCUUCAAUUGGAUCUCCCUGAAAAUCAAAUCAAAUCCUAAACUCAACAAUGAUAAAUAUGAUUUCUAAAAAUAAACACUGGCUAAUACACCGGAACACAAAUAAAUCCAUUUGAACAAAUGAAUAAAAACACACCCAACUUGAUUUAAUAGAGGGGAAAAAAAUAAAGCUUCUAAAAUCAGUAGGGAGCAAAUCCCCAAAUUAAGAACUAAAAAGCCAAUAAAGUCCCCAUGUGUUCUGACCUGGUCAGGAGACCAAAAUCGAUAGAUCCUUCGCAAAACCCCAGACAAAAGCAAAGAAACCCCACAACACAACAUAACGAAUUACUCCUAUCGUGAUCAAAGAUGAAAAGAGAUGGUAUCAUAUUUUCAUCCAUUCAACACCAAUGAAAAAAUAUAGCAACAAAUGAUAAGAAAGUAAAACAUGCUAAUAUGAACAAAGGAAAAACAGAACUCCCCAACUAACCCUGAUUACCACAAAGGAAGUAGAUUGCAGGUAAGUGUUUGUUUGUUUUAAAAUCAGAGAAGACCUAUUUCAAGAAUUUCUUAAUUUAGUGAUUUUAGAUGUUUUUUGAGGAGUAUAUUAUUGCGUAAUGUAAGAAGAGGAGAGGUUGUCAACCUAUUAGGAUCCUUAUGCAUGUUGCAAAGGCAAAUGGGAAGAAUGACCUUAAUGUGAAGAAAUCUAAAAAGAGCACAAAAUAUGCAUGUGCUUCGGUUAUAAAGCCAACUACUUUAGGCAAGGUCUGCUCAGAUAUAACAUUUCCAUCUAUUGCAUUUCAAACUUUAAAUUUUAUGUUGCAUCAACAGAUUUAGUGAGAAAAAUCACCAGAGUGAACAAUUCAGGCAGGAAAAGUGAUUCAAAAUCUCAACACAAGCCUCCAAUAAUGAAGGGCAGUGAGAAAGGAACAAAAAAUAGCAAGUUACGAAUUUGAAGAAAACACAAUGAACUUGACAAGGCGUUGAUGUGCAAUAAGAAGAGGGAAGCUUCUGUAGAGAAAAUUGAUAACAAGAAAUGUAAGGUUCUUUCAGGGUUUCUAAUGAAAAGAGAAAAGAAUUGCCGAAGGCCUACAACACACAAGAAGAAAGCAACUGCCAAAAGAAAGCCAGCAGAUGAAUUUCGUUGUGAAGAUGUGAAUUUUUCUAUAUCAUCCGAGACUACUUUAAAAUUUUGUGCAAUUAUUCCACUGUCUUCCAUGGAUUCCAACAUCUUUUACAUUUAGAAGAGCAAGAAAGGCUAAACCUACCAAUAUUGCAUUUAAGACAUGCUAUUUUCUUGAAAUGAUUGUGCCUGUGUUAUAAGUUCUUGGUUUAAAGAAAGGGCAAUCAGAAAUGUUACUUGUAGAAUGAGCAUGUUGCAAGAGUUCACAUCGAAAAUACGACGUUUCAGUUGUUCAAAUGCAUAUCAAAUUGCUCUCUUUAAUACAACAAAAUUGAGGAAAAGAGUACGUAGCUUUAUACUUGUUUCCAUGGUGUGUGUAAAAAAUCCUAAAUACAGCUUAAUUUUUUUGGCACUUAAUUUUAUUAUGUUUGCAUAGGUGAAGAACAUGAAGAAGCAGCUGAAAAUUAAAAGAUCCAAGUUGCUGAAGGUCUUAGGCUGCUUCACACAAGAUUACAAUCCUCAACAAAUUUAACCGAAUUGAAACAUAUAUAUAUAUAUAUAUAUAUAUAUAUAUAUAUAUAUAUAUAUAUAUAUAUAUAUAUAUAUAUAUACACACAUACCUUCUCUGAAUGAUGAAUAACAAAUGGUUUUGGCCCUCCACUGUGAAUAACAAUAUUGCCUCGAUUUUUCUUGUUAACUAAGUUUUCAGAAGUUCUCACGUGCACCAGAUGCCUCCAUAUAAUUUUUAAAUAGAAAGGAGAAACAUCAUGAUAAUGGUCAUAUAUAGCCCAAAAAAUACUUAGCUCGGAAAAUUCAACAUAAAAAACAAUCCUUCUAUGUUGUCCAAAAACAAAAUGAUGUACGCAUAUAUUCUCAAUUUUUUUAAUAAUUCACUAAUGUUCAGUUCAUUCGUUCUACAGAGACUCAGAGCUUCAAAAGGAACUUAAAAGGUUGAUAAUUUCUGAAAUCUCAUACAACCCCUUUUGUUAAACCAUGAUGCUUAGUUUUUUAUACAAAAUAAUUUGCUAAAAAACUACUAUUAGUUCUUUAAAAUCACCCCAAUUGUGUCUUUUAAAUCAAAAAUAUUUUUCAGAUAUGAAAUUACUGAGACACAAAAUGAAUCUAUUUACUCUCUCUUCAAAAUCUAUGGCUUCACUGAAACCCAAAUUUAAGAAAUAGCCCAGUACUGUUAUCUUUCCAUCCAGACGACACACUUAAACCCAAAUUUGAUUCCUUCAAUUCAUAUGGGUUUUCACCCACUAAACUUGAUAAAAAUACUCACUAGAGACCUUGGUAAUAUGAAACGCAGUCUUGAUAAUCAAAUUAAACCUUCAUGUGAGUUAUCUUCUAAUACAUAUAUGCACACAACUUGGUUUCAAGCAUUUGCAAAUUCUUAAUUGUAAACACUCUAGCCUCUAUGAGGCAUUUUAUCAAACACCAUAAAGGCGUAAAUUUAAAACUUCAGAUUUCAUAAUUGUUUAAGCAAAGUUUAGCUAGAAUUUUUCAUUCUUAUACACAAUUUUCCAACCAAACAGAGUAGCAUAGCAAUGAUUAUACAUACUCAACUACUUAUUUAAUAACAAUUAUAUAUAUAGUAACAAUUAUACCUGAUUUGGUUGUCCAAAAAUCAAAGCUCUCUCUCUCUCUCUCUCUCUCUUCAGUUAACCCAGCUUCUGCUCUUAUUGAAACUUCUCUUUUGAUAACUAUAGUUACUAGUAUCUCCAUGAUUUUAUUUCCUUCUUUUGGAAUGAAAUGGAAGGCUGCUUUUGUUUCUUUCUUAAUCUUGAACGAAAAAUUGAAGAGGCAGGGGAAUAGAAAAGGAGCAUGGGCUUCAGCU